CAUCGUGAUCUCGGAGGUGGGAUGGGAUUCACUGGUGCCCGCUUCAGGCUGUUGUGGAGCUCAGGAUCCGGCCCCGAUAUUUUAUCGCUUCAAUCAUCAAUAUUGGUCGAUAUUUGCUUUCAAAGAUGUUUUAUGCUCUUGCGCUGCUCGCUUGUGAGUUGGAUCGAGAGUCCCAGAGACUCGAGUGUGCACCACAUGCUGCUAUGGUAUCAGGGAAUGUGUGGUUCACGUCAGGUGUUUUCCAGACUCAAGCCAUGCAACUCUGAAGUUCAGCGGGUGUUUGGUUCACUGCCGUAAUCGUGACGCGCCGCAGUUUCUGAACUCUACUUGCUCACAUGUAUGUCGUGCGGUAUUGCAGUUUUUUUUUUCAUCUUUAGCAAAUCGUCUUUGCAGUCGUGACUUGUGACUGAAGAUUGUCUCGCCAAUAAAAAGAAGUUGGCGUCCAGCAAAAAGGAACAGGAGCACGGACCAGGCAACCAAAUGUUCAGAGAAGCCCAGAACAGUCGAAUUCUUCCUGCUGCUAAAUUAAUCAUGUGAACCAGUCCAGAGAUGCAGGAUCCGCUAGCCUUCAGUUAAGUCCAACGACAGAUUGAUUGUCCACGCAUCAUGUCAACGACGCCUGGAAGCUCUUCCAUGUCUAUCCAGGAAUUAGUCUUUGUAUCCUUCUUCACAGAUAGAUACCAGAUGGGCAUUAUGGCUUCUCAGCCUUCACUUCUUUUUGUGUGUAUAGUCUUUAAGGUCUUUGCAUACAUACAUGCUCAUAUAAGCAUAUGAAUGAUGCCACCGCCAGUGUAAUUUGUGGUGAGCAUUAACCGAUGGACGGGAGAGAGGUUUGAUUGAA